rnacentral:rRNA from 1 species
UACGUAGGGGGCAAGCGUUGUCCGGAAUCAUUGGGCGUAAAGAGCGUGUAGGCGGUUCGGUAAGUCGGGUGUGAAAACACGAGGCUCAACCUCGUGCGUGCAUCCGCAUCUGCCGGACUAGAGGUAGGUAGGGGAGGAUCGGAAUUCCUGGUGUAGCGGUGAAAUGCGUAGAUAUCGGAAGGAACAUCAGUGGCGAAGGCGACUUCCUGGACCAAUACUGACGCUCAGGUGCGAAAGCGUGGGGAGCAAACAGGG